UACGGAGGGUGCAAGCGUUAUCCGGAUUCACUGGGUUUAAAGGGUGCGUAGGUGGGCAUGUAAGUCAGUGGUGAAAUCUCCGGGCUUAACCCGGAAACUGCCAUUGAUACUAUAUGUCUUGAAUACCAUGGAGGUGAGCGGAAUAUGUCAUGUAGCGGUGAAAUGCUUAGAUAUGACAUAGAACACCAAUUGCGAAGGCAGCUCACUACGCGGUCAUUGACACUGAGGCACGAAAGCGUGGGGAUCAAACAGG
rnacentral:rRNA from 1 species